UACGAAGGGGGCUAGCGUUGCUCGGAAUCACUGGGCGUAAAGGGCGCGUAGGCGGAUCUUUAAGUCGGGGGUGAAAUCCCGGGGCUCAACCUCGGAACUGCCUUUGAUACUGUGAGUCUCGAGACCGGAAGAGGUGAGUGGAAUUCCUAGUGUAGAGGUGAAAUUCGUAGAUAUCAGGAAGAACACCCGUGGCGAAGGCGGCUCUCUGGGACGGUACUGACGCUGAGACGCGAAAGCGUGGGGAGCGAACAGG
rnacentral:rRNA from 1 species